rnacentral:rRNA from 1 species
AGCGAACGCUGGCGGCAGGCUUAACACAUGCAAGUCGAGCGGGCACUUCGGUGUCAGCGGCAGACGGGUGAGUAACACGUGGGAACGUACCCUUCGGUUCGGAAUAACGCUGGGAAACUAGCGCUAAUACCGGAUACGCCCUUUUGGGGAAAGGUUUACUGCCGAAGGAUCGGCCCGCGUCUGAUUAGCUAGUUGGUGGGGUAAUGGCCUACCAAGGCGACGAUCAGUAGCUGGUCUGAGAGGAUGAUCAGCCACACUGGGACUGAGACACGGCCCAGACUCCUACGGGAGGCAGCAGUGGGGAAUAUUGGACAAUGGGCGCAAGACUGAUCCAGCCAUGCCGCGUGAGUGAUGAAGGCCUUAGGGUUGUAAAGCUCUUUUGUCCGGGACGAUAAUGACGGUACCGGAAGAAUAAGCCCCGGCUAACUUCGUG